rnacentral:lncRNA from 1 species
GACAGUAAACAAAGAAUGUUAAUACUGAGUUUGUUUUGUGUUACACAGUUUAAAAUGCAAUGAGAAAGCCAAAUGAGACUGUAAGAUGAAAUUCUGGAGCUGGUGUAUUACUUCGUGCAUGGAGUCUUGCUGUGUUGCCUAGGCUGGGGUACAGUGACAUGAUCUCAGCUCACCACACACCUGGCCUCCCAGGUUCAGGUGAUUCUUAUGCCUCAGCCUCUCAAGUAGCUGGGAUUAUAGAUUGACAGAUCAAUUUAAACAGCCUUCAUCAAUGCAUGGACCUGAUGUAGAUAAUACAUUUCUGGAUAUUGUGGAGAUGCUAUAAAAGGAUGGGACUCUG